GGUGGCUCAGAAUCUUGGCAUGGCAAUGGUCUAUACACUUGUCACAUCUGCUAAAGAGUGGUUGAGUGAAAAAUUUGGGCAUGAGGUCGCAGUUGAGGAAUCUGAAGAAACCGAUACAGCUAAAGAUGAUGUAUGGCUGUUUGUUCUGCCUAUGAUCCCACUGCUUUCUGAUAAUGUGCUUUUAACAUUAAGAUAAUUGUUCCUCACGGAGAACCAGUUACUAUUGAAACUUUUCCUUGCUUGGCGAGAAUGAUUUGAGCUGAAUUGCCUAAGAGCGAGCCAAGCUAAUUCCAGAGUCUGCACUUGCAGCCCCAAGGAGAAGAAGCUUACAGGAAGGCAGUGGUUUGAAAGUGGAAGACGUACAGCGUAGUGUAACAUCAAUGUGUGGGACUUCUUCAGAAAGGUGUGGCUGCAGUUGCUGAAGGAUCUGAGGAGGAAGAGGAAGACAUUGACCUUGAUGAUGACUUUGAAGAUGAUGAAGAAGAUAUGCUUGAGCAUUAUUUGCAAGAGAGGUCUGAUAAAUUAUUUGAGGGAUCCCAAAAGUAAACAGGAUCAUAAACUUGCUAUCAUAAAGUAUAAGUAAUUAAGUUUGAAUCUUCUGUUUCUGUUUAUAUUUCCAGAAUUGUUCUUUUGGAUUUUGAUGGAUACAUGACAUUUCAUAAAUAUUUCAUACUUAUGAAAUCGAUGUUUAUUGUGUAGCUAAGGUUUCCCCGCAUGAACCAGCUUUUCGGAUUUUGAUCAACCAGGGUGAGUUCAAUUCCAGUCAUGUUAGAAGGAACGGGUGGUGUUGUGGGGAAAUCCGUUAAAGCCUAGUUGUCUCCGUGAUUAUUGAAACAGAAACAUCUACCCCUCUUGUCCUGGAAUGUAUUAUCUUAAACUUUUUCUUUGAUAUAUUUAUAUUGUUAAAUACGCGUUAUAACUGCAACAUCUAUCAUGACUAAAUAGCAGCUUAACAUUCACAGAUCAA